UACGAAGGGGGCGAGCGUUGUUCGGAAUUACUGGGCGUAAAGGGCGCGUAGGCGGCCGAUCAAGUUAGAUGUGAAAGUCCUGGGCUUAACCUGGGGACUGCAUUUGAUACUGAUUGGCUUGAAUUCGGGAGAGGAUAGCGGAAUUCCCGGUGUAGAGGUGAAAUUCGUAGAUAUCGGGAGGAACACCGGUGGCGAAGGCGGCGACCUGGGUAGAUACUGACGCUGAGGUGCGAAAGCGUGGGGAGCAAACAGG
rnacentral:rRNA from 1 species